rnacentral:rRNA from 1 species
UAGGGAAUUUUCGUCAAUGGGCGCAAGCCUGAACGAGCAAUGCCGCGUGAGUGAGGAAGGCCUUCGGUCGUAAAGCUCUGUUGCGAGGGAAAAAGGAACGGAAGAGGAAAU